UACGUAGGCAGCAAGCGUUGUUCGGAAUUACUGGGCGUAAAGAGUGUGUAGGCGGUGCUCUAAGUUCGGUGUGAAAUCUCCCGGCUCAACUGGGAGGGUGCGCCGGAAACUGGAAUGCUUGAGCGUGGGAGAGGAAAGCGGAAUUCCUGGUGUAGCGGUGAAAUGCGUAGAUAUCAGGAAGAACACCCGUGGCGAAGGCGGCUCUCUGGGACGGUACUGACGCUGAGACGCGAAAGCGUGGGGAGCGAACAGG
rnacentral:rRNA from 1 species